UGGGGGAAUAUUGCACAAUGGGGGGAAACCCUGAUGCAGCAACGCCGCGUGAAGGAAGACGGUCUUCGGAUUGUAAACUUUUGUUCUUGGUGAAGAAAAAUGACGGUAGCCAAGGAGGAAGCCACGGCUAACUACGUGCCAGCAGCCGCGGUAAUACGUAGGUGGCAAGCGUUGUCCGGAAUUACUGGGUGUAAAGGGAGCGCAGGCGGGAUAGCAAGUCAGCUGUGAAAACUAUGGGCUCAACCCAUAAACUGCAGUUGAAACUGUUAUUCUUGAGUGGAGUAGAGGCAAGCGGAAUUCCGAGUGUAGCGGUGAAAUGCGUAGAUAUUCGGAGGAACACCAGUGGCGAAGGCGGCUUGCUGGGCUCUAACUGACGCUGAGGCUCGAAAGUGUGGGGAGCAAACAGGAUUAGAUACCCUGGUAGU
rnacentral:rRNA from 1 species